GACGAACGCUGGCGGCGUGCUUAACACAUGCAAGUCGAACGAAGAGCGAUGGAAGCUUGCUUCUAUCAAUCUUAGUGGCGAACGGGUGAGUAACGCGUAAUCAACCUGCCCUUCAGAGGGGGACAACAGUUGGAAACGACUGCUAAUACCGCAUACGCUCUAAUCUCGGCAUCGAGGAUAGAUGAAAGGUGGCCUCUACAUGUAAGCUAUCACUGAAGGAGGGGAUUGCGUCUGAUUAGCUAGUUGGAGGGGUAACGGCCCACCAAGGCGAUGAUCAGUAGCCGGUCUGAGAGGAUGAACGGCCACAUUGGGACUGAGACACGGCCCAGACUCCUACGGGAGGCAGCAGUGGGGAAUCUUCCGCAAUGGACGAAAGUCUGACGGAGCAACGCCGCGUGAGUGAUGACGGCCUUCGGGUUGUAAAGCUCUGUUAAUCGGGACGAAAGGCCUUCUUGCGAAUAGUGAGAAGGAUUGACGGUACCGGAAGAGAAAGCCACGGCUAACUACGUG
rnacentral:rRNA from 1 species